GCAGCCACUCAGGAGACAAUAGGACAGCUCCAUUUCUGAUCUCUCUGAGCCUUAGCUGUCCUGGGACUUACUCUAUAGAUCAAGAUGACCUUGAACUCAGACAUCCUCCUGAUUCAGGCUCCUGAGUGCUGGGGUUACAGUAUUCCCAAAACACAGCAUGACAACCGUCUCUCCAUCGUCUACACUGUACUUGCUAUCACAAGUCACCUGGAGAAGAGCUGAAGUCCACUGAAGGAUGUGGAGGUUCUAUGAUAAUGCUACAGAGCCUCACGUAAGGACUGGACUAUCAUGGGUUUUAGAAUCAACGCCCCACAGUGACCAAUGGGUAACUACACUGUCUCUUGCCACCAAAGGACCUGAUUGGUAUGGACUCCCUGAACAGUUCACUAGCUGCCAUUGUAUUAGAAUCCUUCAAUCUGAAAUAGCACCUCCUUUCUCUGAGUCUCACAGCCUUCACUCCUGUGAGUUUGUAGCCUCUCCUCAGAGGGCUGCUUUUAUUUGCCUGUGAGUUCUUGACUGUUUCUAUAUGAGGGCUAGUCUGAUGGUAACUAUUCCAGCAGCACCGGGAACGAAGGGAAGAGACUCAAUGUCUUCUGACCACAGGUCCCAGGCGGACACUCCGCCUGUCCGUUUGAUUAGCAUGCUACCUCUAGCAUCUAGGAAAGAGAAGCAGCUCGGUUAAGUGGCCUUCUAGCUUUUCCAAGGACCUAUUUGAUUUUGCUUACGAUGUCACCUGUAUAGAAUUAAAAGUGCACGUGGUAGAGAAAGGCUUACAGUGAAAAGAAAAAGCUCUCUGCCUAACAUUAAAAGAAUCGUCCAAA
rnacentral:lncRNA from 1 species